AGCGAACGCUGGCGGCAUGCUUAACACAUGCAAGUCGCACGGGGCGGGGGCGAACCCUCGUCAGUGGCGGACGGGUGAGUAACGCGUAGGUAUCUGUCCCUGGGUGGGGAGUAACCGUGGAAACUACGGCUAAUACCGCAUGACACCUGAGGGUCAAAGGCGCAAGUCGCCUGGGGAGGAGCCUGCGUCCGAUUAGCUUGUUGGUGGGGUAACGGCCUACCAAGGCGACGAUCGGUAGCUGGCUGAGAGGAUGAUCAGCCACACUGGGACUGAGACACGGCCC
rnacentral:rRNA from 1 species